rfam:Dipodomys ordii contig_25995, whole genome shotgun sequence.
GGGAAUGUGGCUUAGUGGUAGAGUGUGUGCCUAGCAUGCAUGAGGCCCUGGGUUUGACUCCUCAGUACCA